GCCUUAGUAAUAUAAUUAUUAUACUGGUCUUGUAAACCAGAGAUGGAGACCCAAAUCUCCCUAAGACA
rnacentral:tRNA from 1 species